CUCUCUUCCCUGCUGCCAUGCAAGAUGUGACUUUGCUUCUCAUUCGCCUUCCACCAUGAUUGUGAGGCCUCCCAAGCCAUGUGGAACUAUAAAGGAAACCUCUUUCCUUUAUAAACUACCCAGUUUCGGUCUACAAAAGAAAAGUCAAAAUAAAUGACAUUAGCCCAUAGCAGCUGAUAUAUUUUAAUUCUUUCCUCAUAUUAUUAACAAACAUGAGACUUUCUCUUUCCAGGGAAGUUGGAUCUGUAUGGGAAUCCAAAGAUAAUUACAGCUGAGCCAUCCUGAGAUAGAGCCCCUGAGAGGCAUAGAAAUCUCCAAAGUGGCCUCUUUUUACACAGAUUGUGGAUAUUCAGUUCUUCCUUUGGUCCCAUGUUACAAACUAGAUUAUUCUUUGCUUUAGAUAUCCAACCAUUCAGACUCCUAGCUGAGUCUUACAAGUUUCUAGCUCAGGAGGGAGUUGUUGGGUGGCAGGGGGUGGCUCUGUGGUUGCUGGUUAUGUGGGGAACAUGUGGGAAGUGCAAGGAGAAAGGAAAGCUCCGGGCUUGCACACGUCAGUCAGGGCUGGUUCCUGUUCCUGUAACCUAAGAUUUCUGUUGACAUGGUGCCAAUUCCCUGGCAGGCAGGAAGAGGCUGCCAUGGAGCAGACACCGGUCAUAACCAAGCAAUUACCAGGCACUUAAAAACUUAAUGAAAUGGUCGCUGUUAGAAGCAGUCAUGCCAGGAACACACUCAUAACGUGCAGCAGCUACAGGCCAGGCUGGCUGAUGAGAGGCUGAAAGCGUCUCCUCUGUGCCCUUCCGGGAGUGGUUCCCAGAAAUGUCGGUCUUAGCCUCUGACCCAGUGUCAGCGUGCUGUUCUCUUGCUCCUCCCCGAUGUCAGUGGAUUCAUUUUUAUCAAAAAUGUCUUGAUGUUUAUUGUUAAGCUUGAAUUCCCACACAAUUUUAGCACUUCCCCCAUUUUCUUGGUGUCUCAAGUGAUUUUUCUUGGGACUCAGAGUUCAGAGAAACAUGCAUUUCCAGAAAAAAGCUGGGAAGGGACUCUUGCAUGGGAACACUGUCUAAAAGCACUUUCACCUUGGUUUCUGGAAACAGGCACAUUGCAAGCUACAGUUUAGGACCUGAUGCCACUUUGAAGGUGUGUCAGCUGGACACAGAAAACGAGGUUACGGAAACAAUGGUCCCAGCACAGCUCACUCUCCACCACGCUGCGCUCUCUCUCCUUAGUCUUGUGGGGCUGGAGGCACAGUGGCUUAGAAGUGGGGUGACCUGGUUGUGAUCAAAAGGCUCCUCCCUCUGUUCACCAUCCAUGGAAAAUGUGCCUCAUCUUGCACCACACACCAGUGGAAAAGGGAAUUUUAGGAAAACGUUCUGGAGGCUGGAAGACCAAGAUCAAAGUGUUGGCCGAGCCAUGCUCCUGCUGAAGCCGCUGGGGGAGGCUCCGUGUAGUUUCUGGGAGCCCCAGGCAUUUGUGGCGUGUGGCAGCAUCUCUCCGAUCUCUGCCUCCAUCUUCACACGGCGGUCUCUGCUCUGUGUGUGUCCAGAUUUCCCUCUUCUUAAUAAGGACGCUUGUCCCACUGGGUUCAGAGUCCACCCUACUCCAGCAUGAGCUCAUCUUCAUUUAAUUAAAUGCAUUGUUUUUGUUGUUGUUGUUGUUGCUGUUUGUUUCUGUUUCUUGUUGUUUUCAUCUUUUUCCCAUUGGGUUUGACCAACUCUAUCCAACUUGAUCAAAUCCGAAGGAAAAUUCCAAAUUAUGGAGAACAAGACCUCUGAAUUGGCUAAAUUCCUGCAAAUUUCCACAUGCUGGGAAGGCCUCACAAUCAUGGUGGAAGGCAAGGAAGAGCAAAUCACAUCUUAUGUGGAUGGCAGCAGGCAAAAGGAGAGCUUGUGCAGGGCAACUCCCAUUUUCAAAACCAUCAGAUCUCAUGAGACCCAUUCGCUUGGAACUCUAGCCAUGAGAUAUCAAUACAAGCUCACAGGUUUUACAUGGUUACACUUUGUUUGCUCCAAUAGGUAAUCCAGUGAAGGCUGUGAACCAAACAUUUUUAAA
rnacentral:lncRNA from 1 species